AACGAACGCUGGCGGCAGGCCUAACACAUGCAAGUCGAGCGAGACCUUCGGGUCUAGCGGCGGACGGGUGAGUAACGCGUGGGAAUAUGCCCUUCGGUUCGGAAUAGCCCCGGGAAACUGGGAGUAAUACCGGAUACGGUCUACGGACGAAAGAUUUAUCGCCGAAGGAUUAGCCCGCGUUGGAUUAGGUAGUUGGUGGGGUAAUGGCCUACCAAGCCGACGAUCCAUAGCUGGUUUGAGAGGAUGAUCAGCCACACUGGGACUGAGACACGGCCCAGACUCCUACGGGAGGCAGCAGUGGGGAAUCUUAGACAAUGGGGGAAACCCUGAUCUAGCCAUGCCGCGUGAGCGAUGAAGGCCUUAGGGUUGUAAAGCUCUUUCAGCGGGGGAAGAUAAUGACUGUACCCGCAGAAGAAGCCCCGGCUAACUCCGUG
rnacentral:rRNA from 1 species